AUAUGAACCACCUGUUGAUCUUGAUAAAAAAUGGAUUCUGAUUCACUAGAUUUGGGAAGGGGCCCAAGAUUUUGUAUUUCUAACAAGUUCCUAGAUAAUGCUUUG
rnacentral:pre_miRNA from 1 species